rnacentral:lncRNA from 1 species
UCUUGCUUUUCUCCCCUGAGUUGUUCCUUAAGCUCCUCUAGUUCUUGUCUUUCUUCUGCCACUGCAGUCUUGCUGGUUUCCAUGACGUUCUUCAUUUCCUCCAGCUGUUUUCUUUCACUCUCAACAUCUUGUUUUGAUCUCCUGAGUUGUUCCUUCAGGUCCUCCAGCUCUUGUCGUUCUUCUGCCACUGCAGUCUUGCUGCUUUCCAUGACGUUCUUCAUUUCCUCCAGCUGUUUUCCUUCACUCUCAAUGUCUUGUUUUGAUCUCCUGAGUUUUUCCUUCAGCUCCUCCAGUUCUUGUCUUUCUUCUGCCACUGCAGUCUUGCUGGUUUCCAUUUCUUGUUGCAGUUUUGUUUCCAUGACGUUCUUCAUUUCCUCCAGCUGUUUUCUUUCUCUCUCAAUGUCUUGUUUUGCUCUCCUGAGUUGUUCCUUCAGCUCCUCCAGUCCUUGUCUUUCUUCUGCCACUGCAGUCUUGCUGGUUUCCAGUUGUUGCAGUUUUGUUUCCAUGACGUUCUUCAUUUCCUCCAGCUGUUUUCUUUCACUCUCAAUGUCUUGUUUUGCUCUCCUGAGUUGUUCCUUCAGCUCCUCCAGCUCUUGUCUUUCUUCUGCCACUGCAGUCUUGCUGGUUUCCAUGAUGUUCUUCAUGUCCUCCAGCUGUUUUCUUUCACUCUCAAUGUCUUGCUUUUCUCCCCUGAGUUGUUCCUUAAGCUCCUCUAGUUCUUGUCUUUCUUCUGCCACUGCAGUCUUGCUGGUUUCCAUGACGUUCUUCAUUUCCUCCAGCUGUUUUCUUUCACUCUCAAUGUCUUGCUUUUCUCUACUGAGUCGCUCCUUCAGCUCCUCUAGUCCUUGUCUUUCUUCUGCCACUGCAGUCUUGCUGGUUUCCAUGACGUUCUUCAUUUCCUCCAGCUGUUUUCUUUCACUCUCAAUGUCUUGCUUUUCUCUACUGAGUCGCUCCUUCAGCUCCUCUAGUCCUUGUCUUUCUUCUGCCACUGCAGUCUUGCUGGUUUCCAGUUGUUGUUGCAGUUUUAUUUCCAUGACGUUCUUCAUUUCCUCCAGCUGUUUUCUUUCACUCUCAAUGUCUUGCUUUUCUUUCCUGAGUUGCUCCUUCAGCUCCUCUAGUUCUUGUCUUUCUUCUGCCACUGCAGUCUUGCUGGUUUCCAUGACGUUCUUCAUGUCCUCCAGCUGUUUUCUUUCUCUCUCAAUGUCUUGUUUUGCUCUCCUGAGUUGUUCCUUCAGCUCCUCCAGUCCUUGUCUUUCUUCUGCCACUGCAGUCUUGCUGGUUUCCAGUUUUUGUUGCAGUUUUGUGAGAUCAUUUUCUUUGACUUGUUGUUCUCUUUCUUUCAAGGUGAUGGUGUUCAGAGCAAUUACAAGCUUCUGUCUGUCUGAUUGA